CAGAAGUGAGAUCUGAAACCUAUGAUAGUAACGUGAUUUCAAAGUGUUCCAGGUGACCAAUGUUUCGUGUUAUUUGUCACGAAUGUUAUCACAAAACGCCCACGAUUCUAUGAUUAUAAUGGAAUAUGAUGAAGAGAGAAUGUCAAGGAAACCACGCUGACAAAGGUGUGAGAUGCAGAAAAGUAUUUAAGUACAAGAAAUGAUGGACGCAAAUUAUGAAGAUACUCCCUCCGUAACUUGGCUUGUGGUCACGUAAGUGGUGAACAAUUUGACUAACGAUGGCCCCAGAGCAGGUACGAUUUAUUAUUAUUAUCGAUUAUUCCAACAACAACAAUAUUAACACAUUUCCUUUUUGAGCAAAAUAAUGCAUGGAAGUGAAUGAAGCAUCAAAUGUUAUAGGUAUUGUCAGUCUUUACUGAUAAUGCCAGGAAUGUGUGUGAAAGCUAUGGUAUGUGCUCACUUUAAUUGCAAUGCCUAAUAAACUAUUUUAGUAAAUCAAAUUAAAUUGAACAGUGUUCAUUUGUUCAUGUUUACAUUCUGCAAAGAAUAACUUGUUGAGAUUUAAAAUCUAUAAAGAAUAGAUAGAAUUUGGUCAGAUAAAUUAAAUAAGUUUGGUGAUCAUGCCCGAGUAACCUCUUGGCAUUAUUUUGGAGAAGAAUUAAUAAUUAGUUUUAUUCAAGUAAAUUGAAGCUAAGGUCUGUGUUGUGUAAACCAGUUUUAGUAUCAUGAUGUUUCUUUCUUGAUGUUGAGCACUAUAAGAUGAGAUAAAAUCUAUUAAAUAGCUUAAUUUGUAAAUUGAAAUUAAGUAAAGCAGCCAGUUAUGCCGUUGAACAUGUGGUGUAUUUUUGGUACUCUUAUAGUGAUUGAUACUUCAAUUAUUGUGAAACAUAAUUAUUAUUAUGUUACAUGAUGCUAUAUUUUGAGUUAAGAUAAUGUUAAUAUUGAACUUUUCCAACUUAUCAAUUAAUUUCUGCUGCCAGUAGUGAUUUGGGUUGUAUCACUAAAAUUGAAAAUUAGUGUGGGUGAUUAAAAUUUAUCCAAUUAUUAUACUUAAAAAAAAAGACAUAGAAUGUGGUACAUUUAACUUAAAGAGUAUUCUUGUGUACCAGCCAUUAUUGUUGGUUAUUCUUCCCACAUGGUGAAAAUGAUUUUAAUCUUGAGGUUAUUUAUUAGCUGUUUAAUAAAAAGGUUACUGGUUGUAGCAUGUUGUGUGUGCAUAUUUUUAGAUUUGACUUGAGUUUUAGAUAUGGUGACUUAUCUGUCUGCGGGUUGGCCCUGUGGUGAGCAAAUCAGUCAAGUGCAAUACCUGAGUGAAGCUGAACACUGAACAAGGGUACUUCACAUAAGUGAUUUGGAGUUGGACCGAAGGUAAUGCAAUACAAAAGGCAUCAGCUGUGAUAUUUGGUGAGUGAAAAUGCAAUACAGAAGGAAUCAGCUGUGAUAUUUGAACCAAAGGUGGUCAGCGUGAGGUGCGAAUGGUGGUAGAGAUGGCAGAGUGGAUCUAGCCAGGUGCUCAGCUGGAUCCCAAUACGAGGCGUCAAGUGUGCCAUGAGCAGACCUUCGAGGGCGAAGGAAUUGCAGGAAGGCCGAACUGUUAAUUGUGAAAAAUAUAAAACGUUAAAAUAGCGGUAUCGUUAUAGCCAAUGAGCUGCUGUCAUAGUGACAUUGACGUAUUGUCAAUGUCACACGAGAAUCAAACGUCAGAAUAGAGGGACGCGCGGAGACGACUCCGCGCGCUUUUGUGCUAAGUGAUGAAUUGUAUCUAAAAUAAGGCAAUAUAAUGUGAAAGAUGAGUA